AGGGAAUCUUCGGCAAUGGACGAAAGUCUGACGGAGCAACGCCGCGUGAGUGAUGACGGCCUUCGGGUUGUAAAGCUCUGUUAAUCGGGACGAAAGGCCUUCUUGCGAAUAGUUAGAAGGAUUGACGGUACCGGAAUAGAAAGCCACGGCUAACUACGUGCCAGCAGCCGCGGUAAUACGUAGGUGGCAAGCGUUGUCCGGAAUUAUUGGGCGUAAAGCGCGCGCAGGCGGAUUGGUCAGUCUGUCUUAAAAGUUCGGGGCUUAACCCCGUGAUGGGAUGGAAACUGCCAAUCUAGAGUAUCGGAGAGGAAAGUGGAAUUCCUAGUGUAGCGGUGAAAUGCGUAGAUAUUAGGAAGAACACCAGUGGCGAAGGCGACUUUCUGGACGAAAACUGACGCUGAGGCGCGAAAGCCAGGGGAGCGAACGGGAUUAGAUACCCCGGUAGUCCUGGCCGUAAACGAUGGGUACUAGGUGUAGGAGGUAUCGACCCCUUCUGUGCCGGAGUUAACGCAAUAAGUACCCCGCCUGGGGAGUACGACCGCAAGGUUG
rnacentral:rRNA from 1 species